GAGCUCUGCUGAUGGGAUGACUGCACAGCUCUGCUGGUUGCCCUGCAGCCCUGCCAGGCGCUGUUACCUCAAACUCUCUGCAGACAUCCUGUGCUGGAACCAAAGAGUUCCCACCUGAAGAAGAUGAGCACAGCUAUGAGCGGUCCCCUUCUCCCACAAGGCCAUCAUUGCUCCCCAAACCAGGGGGCCAGCCAAAAUCAUGCUUUCAUGGAAGGCCCAAGGACUACCUGAAAUAUCUUCAAAAACUAAAAACAGGAACUCCCUGCAAAGCGAUGAGAUGGUAGUGAGCACCGUUUCGUUCCCUUUCCACCAACUGUCUAUUGUGACACUAUGGAGCUAACUAGCAGAGCUGCUGAAAUCACAGUUAAGGGAAAGGAACAUUAAGACACAUAAGCGAGGGGAGAGAUGUGUGUGAAGUA